ACACUCUUAAGAAAAAAGGUUCUUCAAAGGUUCUGAAACGAUGGUAAAGGUUCUAUAUAGAACCAUAGCUUACUGAAGAACCAUUUUUUGCUGAAAUGGUUCUUUGUCUUGGCAAAAGGGUUCUUUAUUUCCCUCCUUUUUUGAUUUUAAAUUUAGUCAGUUAUUUUCAAGCUGCCUCCUGAUUAUUUUCACCUGUAAAAGCCCUGAAUCAUCAGUCCUGCUGAACUGCCUGCAGACUAACAACACAAACAGGUAAGAGAGGAAAAUAAUCAUCAUUUACUGUUAAAAACAUUUUGAAAAUUGAAGUUUUGUGUGUUCUUAUUGUAAUUUAUUUAUUUUAUAACAGGUAAACUUUAUACUGUAAGCUUCAUUCCCUUUAAAGCAGAGUUUUUAUAUGUGAGGUAAUCUUGCUGGGAGUGAAGGCAGUGCGUAUGACCGCUUGAUAUGAGAGACACAUUCUAUUUUUAAAGGUCAACAUACUGUAAGCUUCAUUCCCUUUAAAGCAGAGUUUUCAUAUGUGAGGUAAUCUUACUGGGAGUGAAGGCAGUGCGUAUGACUGCUUGAUAUGAAAGACACAUCCUGUUUUAAAAGGUGGAUCGUGAGUGAAGCUCUGCAGGUCUGCCAUUGGCUUGAUAACAGUGGUUUAUGUGAAUUGAGUGAAUUCAAUUUAUAAAUAAAUCUUUCACCAAGCAUUCACCUAUUUACUGACAAAACAGAUCCAAAUCCUGAUGCUCAACCUUGUAUGAUGAUGACCACAGCCAGGUGAUGGAGAUCUGUGUUAAUCACAGCCUGCGUCUCAAGAUCAACAUGACAAUAGCAGACCAUUUCUUAUCUUACUCUUAUCUGACUAAAUGUUCAGCAUCAUUGCAACAAAACAAAGAACAUUGGAUGGCGUAUUGGAGUAUUAGAUGAUCCCGUAAAGAAAAUAAUAUGGACUUUUUUGGUGAGAUUCUACAAAGAUUGACACAAUCCUAUUGUCUUUUAUUUUUACAGUUAAUAAUGCAUUAUAAACAUCCCAUUCAUUUGUAUUCUAUGUCAUCGAUCUGUUUGUGCUAAAAUGUAUACAUCUGAAUGUAAUGUCAAUAAUAUGUUAAUAUUCAGGAUUUAUUAUCAUAUGCAUGUUUUGAUGUUGCAUGUCAUGAUUUUAUUGAUUUCAUGUAAUUGUUGUCUAUUUAAAAUGAUUUUAAUUGCCAAAUUUUAUUGUUAAUUUAUUUAAUAUUGAAGCUGUUAUUUAACAGCCAUAUCUUA